UUUCGAUUAUUAAGUUUUGAUUUUGUUGUGACAGGUUGGCACAAUCAAUUUAUCAAGAUUGAUGUUCCUCUUAGGUCACCUUUUUUCUUAUACUUGGAUUGCAGGAGUGUUUGGUUUUAGAAAUUAGAACUUUAAUGUGCUCCGCUCUCUAAUAAUUGUUUAAUUCUACCCCUUGUUAAUAUUUCUUGGCAGACUUCCUUAGCUUCUUAGAUAACUAUCAUGUCUGAAAUCAACAACUGCUAGAAUUUGUCUGUCAAUUGGAACGAUGUUUAUAAAUGUAUCAUUUCAUUCCAUUAUCUCAGUGUCUUUGUUGAUUUAUGGGUAAUAUUUGUUGUGCUUCGUAGUGGUGUUUGUGUCCUAAGUUGCUAAGCAGCUGAGUGCAGGGAAUAAGAAUCAAAGAUACUUGGAUUAUCAGUGGAGUGUUGGGAUGAAAAAGUUGCAUGUUAGAAAUAUAAUUCUUUAAUUUAUGAAGGCGAUAUCAAUAUGGCAACAAAAGG
rnacentral:lncRNA from 1 species